GACCAGCGGAGGGAUCAUUACCGAGUUUACAACUCCCAAACCCAAUGUGAACGUUACCAAACUGUUGCCUCGGCGGGAUCUCUGCCCCGGGUGCGUCGCAGCCCCGGACCAAGGCGCCCGCCGGAGGACCAACCAAAACUCUUUUUGUAUACCCCCUCGCGGGUUUUUUUAUAAUCUGAGCCUUCUCGGCGCCUCUCGUAGGCGUUUCGAAAAUGAAUCAAAACUUUCAACAACGGAUCUCUUGGUUCUGGCAUCGAUGAAGAACGCAGCGAAAUGCGAUAAGUAAUGUGAAUUGCAGAAUUCAGUGAAUCAUCGAAUCUUUGAACGCACAUUGCGCCCGCCAGUAUUCUGGCGGGCAUGCCUGUCCGAGCGUCAUUUCAACCCUCGAACCCCUCCGGGGGGUCGGCGUUGGGGAUCGGCCCUCCCUUAGCGGGUGGCCGUCUCCGAAAUACAGUGGCGGUCUCGCCGCAGCCUCUCCUGCGCAGUAGUUUGCACACUCGCAUCGGGAGCGCGGCGCGUCCACAGCCGUUAAACACCCAACUUCUGAAAUGUUGACCUCGGAUCAGGUAGGAAUACCCGCUGAACUUAAGCAUAUCAAUAAGGCGGA
rnacentral:rRNA from 1 species